CAGCACCACCUCCUCCAUCUCCUCCUCCACCUAGUUACAAAUCUCCACUACCACCUUUUCCAUCUCCGCCCUCACCCCAUAACAAAUCUCCACCACCUCCUCCAUCUCUUCCCCCACCCUGUAACAAAUCCUCACCACCACCUUCGCCAUCUCCUCCCCCACCACGUAACAAGUCUCCACCACCACCUCCUCCAUCUCCUACUCCACCUAUUUACAAAACCCCACCACCACAUUCUCCAUCUCCACCUCCACCCUGCUACAAUUCUCCACCACCACCAUCAAGCUCAUCUCCUCGUACUUAAGACUACCAGUACCUAAGACCUCACAUUAUUUACUAAACAAAUCACAAUUUCUAAGAGAUUAUGUACCUUAUAAACUAAUAAAAGAAUAAUUGUUGCUGAAGUACUCAAACUCUAUUAUCGUGCUAUGGUUUAUCAUUAUAACUCAAUGCCAAUCAAGGCAACCGUUCAAGACAACCGAGAUAUAAUAUGCUUGGCAGCUCUUGUGCAAUAUAUAAAUGUAUUUUAUUGACUUGAUAUAAUGAAAUGAUGGUUACAUAACAUUUGUUCAUCAAUGCAUGUAGAUGCAUUUUCUUAGUUUUUAUUGAUUGGGCCAUCGAUCUAUUCAUAUAUAUUCAAUUUAUUGUUGAUG